AGGCGUGGCUUCUCUGUUCUAAGCCUGACAGUGCCUGAAUCCAUUGGGGUCCAUCGGGCUCUCUCCUGCGUUCUUUCUCCAGCCCCAGUUCCUUCCCUCGCAGGUGCAGUGGAUUCUGGAAUCACCCAAACACCAAGACACCUGAUUAAAGCAAGAGGACACCAAGUGAUACUAGGUGUUCCCCUAUGUCUGGGCACCGCACUGCGUCUUGCUACCAACAGGCCCUGGGUCAGGGCCCCUAGUUCCUCUUUGAGUUUUAUGAAAAUAUGCAGAGAGCAAAAGGAAACUUCCCGGGUCGAUUCUCAGCACAACAGUUCUGUGAUGCUCGUUCUGAGCUGAACCCUGACUUGAGCUCCUUGGAGCUGACGGAGGCGGCCCUGUAUCUCUGUGCCAGCAGCCAAGACGCAGCCCUGCAUGAUCAGCUGCCUCUGGUACAAAAACAUUCCUGCCCCAGCUCAGGAAGUGGCCAUGAGGGCGUUGACUGCCAGCCAACCACUCCCAGGCCCUGGUAAAGCAGACAGCCUUUCGCAGGUAUUAUUUCUUUGAUAUGUAUGAAUGCUCCCAAAGAGCAUGCAUAAUAAAUAUUAUUUUACCUGUUUGUAUAUCUGCGGAGAAGUGUCUUGCCCAGAUCUCCUAUUUCAUAACUGUCAGAGCAAGGAAGCAGACUCAAGUCUGUCCUCGACACCUGUGGUCCCUGCCCUAUAGAACAGUCCCCCCAUAGAACAAAUAUAUAUAUGUGUGUGUGUGUGUGUGUGUGUGUGUGUACAUAUAUAGAUAUAUAUGUAUAUAUACAUAAUUUAAGGGAGUUGGCUCACAUUUUUUUUAAGGCUGGUAAGUCUAAAAUCUGCAGCUGGGCUGGUGGUACUAGAGAUCCAGGGAGAGCUGAUGUUUAAGUUCAGAGGCUGUUAGGCAGAAGGAGCCGAUGUUCCAGUGAAGGCCAUCAGCUGGACAAUUCUCUCUUACCUGGGAAGAUUAGGCUUUCUGUUCCAUUCAUGUCUUCAACUGAUGGGAUGUGGCCCACCUACAUUAUGGAAAAUCAUCUGCUUUACUAGCUAGAAUGUUAAUCUAGUCUAAUAUUAAAGUCUACCUAUUCACAUGUUAAUCUCUUCCAAAAACAUCCUAACAGGAACACCCCGAAUAGUGUUUAAAUACUUGUGGCCCAGCCAAGUUGACACAUUACAUUAGCCAUCGCACCAUCUUCCAAGGUUGCAUAAAAAUUUAGUAAGCGUGAAGUACCUGGCACAUAACAGAACUCUGCAUUUCUUGACUCCCUUUGCUACUCUCUGACAGCCUCUUCCACCGUUUCCCAGGGGCAAAGUUAGAGAUGAACAUAUUGUGCCUGUAGUUGAGGACUUCAGAAGUCACAGAAAGGUGAAUAUUUAUGCCCGAUGAUUCGUUACAUGAAAUUAACCAGAGCAUGUAAUACACAUCCCUCAUCAGGCAUUUUUAAAUCAACUUUUUUGACGGAUGAAUUAUAGUUAAGCCUUGAACAAUGUGGAGUUUAGCAGAGGCUAGGGGCUCUGAGCCACCCCCAAGCCCACAGUCAAAAAUUUACAUAUAACUUCACGCUUGAAUGUCCGUAUCCACGGUUCUGCAUCUGAAGAUUCAACUAACUACAGAUCCUGCAGUACUGUAGUAUGUAUUUAUUAAAAAGUGGACCCACGCAGUUCACACCUGUGUUGUUCAAGGAUCAACUGUAUGUACAAUAAUCAUUACACACUUUAUAAUUGACAGGUCAAUGGUUUUGCUCAAUAUAUACAUAUAUACCCAUGUAAUAUCUACCCUAUUAAGAUAUAGAAACAUUUCCAUCUCCCAGAAAGUUCCUUCAUGCCCCUUUCCCAUGUCCCUGUCCAUCCCUGAAAACCAAAUAAAUGAUUUCUGUUACUAUAGAUUCGUUUUGCUCAGGCAUCUUUUUAGUGAAAAUUUAAGGUCUCUAACCAUUGAAACAAUUCCUCUUUAGCACAGAGCUAAAUAUUUAAGACAGUUAGGUGCUACUGGAAAGCGUUAUGGUUAAAAAAAGUGCUUGAAAUCAUGUGAUACGGAAUAUCCACUUCAGGGACAAUCCUCACUGGGGAUGGAAAGUUUGAUAAAAUGACCAUCAGAAGGUCUUGCCAGGUGGUAGAGGCUGUUUUUGUAAAAUUUAUUUAUUCACUUUUAGAAAUUUCUUUUCUCAUGCACCCAUUCCCAGAAAUCAUUGUAUAAUGAUAUUUUGAUAAGAAGUCAUCAUCUCCCAGGAAAUUAUUUUGAGAUCUCAUGAGACACACACAGAGCAAGGCUUCAUGUUCACACACUGUGUGCUGGGCUGUGCAGACAACAGGCAGUAGAAAUUUCGGGGAGAGAUCGUUUCACGUCAGGAGAAGGGUUCCCUUGGCUUUUACCCCCAGUAUCCAAGACACAGGCCUUGAUCUGGAAAGUCCCCCUUUCUGUUCUGGCCUUGCCUGUGCACCGGUCUCCCAUGCUGUGUGUCCUUCUGUCUCCUGGACUAGGGAUGUCUGAGCACAGAUGCGGAACCACUCUGGGGCUUGCCAGGCCCCAGAUCAAGGCUUCUUGUUGUGGUUACAUCAGGAUCCUUCUUUGCUUCUGACUUUAGUUUCUGUGUCUUUCUCUCCCAGACCCCAGGAAUGACGAGUCACCAAGACCCCAGACAUGUGGUCACGCUCAAGGGAAACCGGCACAUCAGGCAGUACCCACAGGUCCAAAAUCAUGUACUCAGGACCAGCUACAUAAUUUGCAGGGCCCGUGAUUCUAAACUUAUUUAGAAUGAAUAUCACGGCCGCAGAACAUUGCAGCAAGUACGGGGUCCUUCUCAGGGUGGGGUUAGUUAUGUGCAACAAGGUACAGUUUGGGGCUCUGUGAUAUUUGUGACUCAAUUAAUGGCAGCUGCUACACCAGGAGGUAUUCCCCAUGGAAUGGAUGUCUCAGGUAAAAACAGAGCAUCUUUCAUUUACCCUGGAGUCUGCCACCUCUCACCCCGUCCCUCCCACGUCUGUAUUCCUCUGUGCUAACAUGUCAUCUGCGGUGCUGGGCAACCAUCUCUCCACAAAGAAAGGUCGGUCAUAGGCGUGAUGUGGCUCUGCUGCUGCUAGAUGUCCCCUCCUGACACAGGAAGCACGUGCUCAGGUGACCAGGAAGGAGUUGCAGCUGCCCCUGUCGGUGAAUUGAUGAGAAAUAGAGCCAAACGAUUCCUCAAAUGUUGAUGAGCCUGAGGUUGGGAAACCAGAUACCAGAAGAAUCACUGUAGGUGGAAGGACAGGACCAGGACUGUGAUGAAUUAAACAAAGUAGAAACAGACACUUGAAGAGUAUUUGGGAUGCAUGAGUCAUAAAGGCUGCAGGAAGCCAUAAGGAUUUUCCCCAAAAUUCAAAACUAGAUUAGAUAAAUGAAACCAAUAUACGUAUUAAUGAAGAAUUAUCUCUGGGAUAAAAUACACAUAAA